UACGAAGGGGGCUAGCGUUGUUCGGAAUUACUGGGCGUAAAGCGCACGUAGGCGGACUUUUAAGUCAGGGGUGAAGUCCCGGGGCUCAACCUCGGAACUGCCUUUGAUACUGGAAGUCUUGAGUAUGGAAGAGGUAAGUGGAAUUGCGAGUGUAGAGGUGAAAUUCGUAGAUAUUCGCAGGAACACCAGUGGCGAAGGCGGCUUACUGGUCCAUUACUGACGCUGAGGUGCGAAAGCGUGGGGAGCAAACAGG
rnacentral:rRNA from 1 species